CCAGAAGUUUGGCAUAGGAAAGAAGCAAAUGCAGCAUAUUGGCUAAGAUUGUUUAUUCUUCUAUAGUUCUAUUCUUGAGAUACCUGUACUUUUUAUAGCCUUGGAAAUUAUCUGACUAGAAAAAGAAAAAAAAAAUGAGAACGACACGAUGCUGUUCUAGCUCACCUUUGUCUGGGACAACGGAGAAUAAUUUCAGAUUUUAUAAUGUCAUUUAAAAUAUUUGUUAAAGAUUUUCUUGCCUAUUCAGGCAAAAAUGUAUAUUUGUCAAAGGAUGCAGACUGAAACGGGUUUGUUGAAGCUUCUCUUUGCGGGAUAACAAAGUCCGUGGCAUUUUGCACCCUUAAUAUGUGUUUUUUUUUUCAACUUGCACUUAUUCUAUUUUUUUUUUAUGAUUUAAACUCCAAUCUCUUUAUUUCAUUGCAAAACAAUAAAAUCACCUUUUUAUAAAUUUACCAUGAGGAGAAAAUAGGAAUACAAAUAUAUAUAAUAAAAAAUAAAUUACAUAAAAUUAAAAGAGAGCUCACCAAGUGCUUACUUUCCGUCAAAGCACAAAGUGCUUACUUUCUAAAUUGGGUUCUUUGCAGCUAAGACCAACAGAAGCAAAACCCCAAAAUGUUGACAAAAUCAUAAAGCAAAAAUCAAGGAAAAUCGGCUAGAUCUACAUAUCACCGCUCAAUAUUCUUCCUCUCCGCUGAUUCAUCAACUUGGAGUGGAUCUCUAGCUGAUCGUCGCCUCUACCAGCUCGUUUCUGAAGCUACAACCAUAGAAAAAACCAAUGUUUUCUCGGCCCAUCGAUUUCUGGUGAGUGAACUGUUUCAACUUGAUUUCUGUCGUUUCUUGGUGGGAUUAUGACUGCGGUAGAAGAUUUCCCCAAAUAGAAGCAUGUUUGUCUUUGCGCCUCUUUAGUUUAGUGAUUGAAUCUGACCUUUUGCUUGAAAUCGAUCAACAAGAAAAUAGGCAAAGUUUCACCGGGUUCUCUUCCGUUUCCUAGGCCCAUCGAUUUCUAGUGAGUGGCCUGUUUCAACUUAAUUUUUGUCAUUUAAUACUCUCUGCAUAUGUAUUAGUAAUGGGAAAUAGGCAAAGUUACAUCGGGUUCUCUUCCGUUUCAGCAGGUUCUUUAAUGCUUGAUUUUUAGCUCAAAUGAAGCAAUCAGUUUGGUUAUCCGCACAUUCGCCGAAAAAAGCAAUUAACGAUGCAAUAAUUAACAACUACAAAAUUUCUCGUCUUAUCAAACAGAGAAUAAAGGCAACGGCUCCAACAAAAAGAGGCAGGAGAAUAGUGAAAUCACAACAAUAUAUAAUGACACAAGAGUUUUGUGCAACAAGUGCAGGCCAAACAAUAGAGAGAAAAUCCACUGUGGUUGCAUCACACCAGGAUUAUUAUGUUCAUCAGAAGUUGGGUCCUCUUCUUUACGAGAAUGGUAAGUUCAAAUCAGUCCGCUGUAAUUUGGUUAAAAAAAAUCCAAGAUUAUUAUCAUCAUCAUAAGUUGGGUCCUCUUCUGGUGGAGGAUCAAGAGAGGAACAAUGCAAAAUCGCAGUGGUUUAGUUUUCACAUAAGCUAAUUCCAGCCACAAGGAAAAGAGAUGACACACUAUUUUAGAAGCAUCAAGAUUGAAGUUUUCUAUGGUUGAGCUUGAGAAAAUGUAAACAAUCUUGAAAUUUACUGUCACAACUUGAAAUUCAAGUAUUGCAUCUUGAUUCAGUUUAAGGAAUUUCAUUUGAUAUCAUUAUGUUUACGAAAUUCACGUGUAACAGUGACUCGUGAUCUGUAGUUUUCACAAGGGAAAAUAAAAAGAAGAAGAGCAAAAGUAGAUACAAGA